AUGUAUUGUCAUAUUGUGGGGUUCAAUUAGUGCUGCAUAUCCACUGAUUAACAAUAAAUUUAGGUUGUUCACAUUUGAACUCUUAUGAAAUAUGAACGGUCCUCUUGGGCUGCGCUUACAAUCUCAUUGUCAUUGCACAGUGGUCAAAUAAUUUUUGUUAAUAUACUAAAUGUUUAUGCCAUUUUCUUUCCUCUUUGGAUUGUUUUUUCUAUUGUAUAUUUCUCCUAGGAGUAGUUUUGCAUUGUCAUCUGGAAAAGUUUGUUUAUUUCAUCUGGGUGCAUUCUUUU
rnacentral:misc_RNA from 1 species